rnacentral:rRNA from 1 species
UACGUAGGUGGCAAGCGUUAUCCGGAAUUAUUGGGCGUAAAGCGCGCGCAGGCGGUUUCUUAAGUCUGAUGUGAAAGCCCACGGCUCAACCGUGGAGGGUCAUUGGAAACUGGGGAACUUGAGUGCAGAAGAGAAAAGCGGAAUUCCACGUGUAGCGGUGAAAUGCGUAGAGAUGUGGAGGAACACCAGUGGCGAAAGCAGCUUUCUGGGACGGUACUGACGCUGAGACGCGAAAGCGUGGGGAGCGAACAGG